GCCGGUCUUAGUGUAUUUGUAAAUCCUGAUCCAGCUCAAGAAAAUAAUCAUCCGGAGAACUUGCGUAAUGAAGAACGCUCCUCAGUCUUUCAUGCAAAUGAUGUCAACAAUGCAGAGCGUGACCGAACGUUUGCUACUAAAAAAAAAACAAGGGAUACGAUUAAAAUUACUAACAAGAUUUUUUGAUCCCGGUGAUAGUGUGUGUGUUCGGGAUUGAUUCAAACGCAUCUUUACGGCUGUAAAUACGUACCAAAUCAGUAACUACGACAUUCGAAUUAAAGCCUUUUAAAGGAGCGAGCUAGAAAGUGUGCAGACGAUUGGUUAGUUGCAACAUCUACACAAGAGGCAUUACGUGAGACCAUAGCUAACAUUUGUUAUUAUCCUUUGAGCUAACCUCGUGUCCAUGAUGUAUUCUGAAGAGAACCAUGAGAUUCUGUAGGGAAGGCUUGUGGUACCGUGACAAGACAAUUAUACACCACAGAUCUGGAGAGCGUGACCUCUGAGCUAAUCGCGUGUUACCCUUGAGCUAACCACGGGUCCUUGAUGUAUCCAUAAGAGAACCAUGAGAUUCCGUAGGGAUGCCUUGUGGAGCCGUGAGAAGACAAGUCUACACCACAGAUGUGGAGAGCGUACCUCUGAACUAAUCGCGUGUUACUCUUGAGCCAACCACAGGUCCUUGCUGUAUCCUUAAGAAUACCAUGAGAUGACGUAGGGAGGCCUUGGGAAGACUUGAGUAGAAAGUAAUAUUUGCAACAUGUCUGGUUAACGGCAGUGCCUCUACAAAAACGAUGCUGUAAUUCAAACGAAAGCAUACUCGACUCCAAAAUCCUGAUCAAAUACAUCUAUUGCGAAUAUAACUAAUUUCUGUUCCUUUUCUGCUAACCGUGGUCAUGCGUUUGAAUCGUGUUUCCGACGGGAAUAAGGAGAUCACGCCGAAUUUUAAUUUAAUACCAACUGUUCCAGGUUUUGAAAUGACUACUGAUAUAUUAACCGGAGCAGAUUUAUUACGUGAUAAGAAUACAUGUGGAAAAUUUAGUAUCCUUGCCGAUGUUUUGCACAUACGAACAAGUCAAUUAUGCUUUGACAGUUUAGAUUACAAUUCAACAAUCAGUCCGUUUAAAUCGAAGUAAUGCACCAACACAUUCAAAACAGGAUGGUCGAGGCGGAGAGAAGAUACAAAGCUAGGUUUUUGAGAGGUCGAGCUACGAUUAAAAGAUUCCAGAAGGGAGAUAUUGUAAUAAUAAAAUAUAACCCCAGAAAUCGGAUAUCCCUAUAUUUAAAAUUUUGUGAACUAUACAAAAUCCAGAAAAUAAUUGAGAAUGAUUAAUAUCUUGUAAAGUGAUUUUAGACAAUGGAUGACUUCGAAAUGUGGCACAUGACCAGCUACGAAUGUGGCACAUGACCAGCUACGAUGAGACUUCACAGCAUCUGAGGGACGACACAGAAUUACUAAGCAAGCAGUUAGGUGGACGGUUCGCCUACCUAAUAGUUAUCCGAAAACAAUGCAGAGCACGCAUCAGUAUAACCGUAUCGGCAUGACUUCGGACGAUGAAGCAUCAAUUCUUGAACCUGGCCCAUCUACUCUACGAGACCUGCAACGGGUACGAGAACAUAACGAAAGCUAAGCAAGAGAGAACACAUCACCAGGCAGGUGCAGAGCACGCACCGCCUGCCAGAAUGGCCGUAUCGGCGCAAGCAGCUUCAACGACGGAUGCAACAUGGAAAUAACUGGCACCAAUUAUUAUAACACCUUAUUGGUCGUCGUUACUAUUGUUAAAAGUAAAACGAAAUCAAAGAGAAUAGAACUAUGUUUGAAUUCUGGUUUAAAUAUGACGUCUGGACGCACGACAGCGGACUGCAGAGUUCAGCGAGUGCGGAGCAUAAAGAACCUUCGAGAAAUACAAGAACAUUUAGAAGAA